GCCGAGAUAGCUCAGCGGUAGAGCAACGGUUUUGUAAACCGUAGGUCGUGGGUUCAAAUCCCUCUCUCGGCU
rnacentral:tRNA from 1 species